UCUUCUGUAGCUCAGUGGUAGAGCGUCCGACCGGUGUGCGGAAGGUCAGUUCGAAUCCUGUUGGGGGAA